UAAGCAAUUAUACCGCGAAACUGCGAAUGGCUCAUUAUAUAAGUUAUCGUUUAUUUGAUAGUACCUUACUACUUGGAUAACCGUGGUAAUUCUAGAGCUAAUACAUGCUAAAAAUCCCGACUUCGGAAGGGAUGUAUUUAUUAGAUUAAAAACCAAUGCCCUUCGGGGCUCACUGGUGAUUCAUGAUAACUCCUCGAAUCGCAUGGCCUUGUGCCGGCGAUGGUUCAUUCAAAUUUCUUCCCUAUCAACUUUCGAUGUUUGGGUAUUGGCCAAACAUGGUUGCAACGGGUAACGGAGGGUUAGGGCUCGACCCCGGAGAAGGAGCCUGAGAAACGGCUACUACAUCCAAGGAAGGCAGCAGGCGCGCAAAUUACCCAAUCCCGACACGGGGAGGUAGUGACAAUAAAUACUGAUACAGGGCUCUUUUGGGUCUUGUAAUUGGAAUGAGUACAAUUUAAAUCCCUUAACGAGGAACAAUUGGAGGGCAAGUCUGGGGCAGA
rnacentral:rRNA from 1 species